rnacentral:lncRNA from 1 species
CUUGGGAGGCCGUGGAGGAACACUUGAGAACUAGGUUCUGAGGGUGAGGAUCAAGAGCCAGCCCAUGAACCUCUGACUCGGUGAGUGAAGCUUCCGGCAGAACAUCCGGCCUGGCAUCCGAGGCGGCACUUAUCUGAAGCCUCUUAUAUGAGGAGGAUCUCAAAAGAAGCAGGGAGAGAGCCUUGGGAGAGGAACCUGGUGCCAGCCCUGGAUACAGAGAUGGAGUCGUGACGGUGUCGGGCCAGCCUGAGAAAUAGCAGGAGACCUGACAUGGCCUAGGGUGGGGCUCUAGGUGCUUGAUGAAAGUGAGAUGGAAGGAGUGCACCGUGGUGACUGCGGAGUCCUCAAAGCCACUGCGACCCUCACCUUUACCUCCUGUCAGCUGGUGAGCUUGGUAAGGUUGAAGAAAAAAAUCUCUUGGGGCCGAGCACGGUGGCUUAUGCCUGUAAUCCCAACACUUUGGGAGGCCAAGGCAGGUGGAUUGCUUGGGGCCAGGAGUUUGAGUCCAGCCUGGGCAACAUAGCAAGACCCCAUCUCUACAAAACAAAAUAAAAAAAAAAUAGCCAGGCAUGGUGGCAUAUGCCUGUGGUCCCAGGUACUUGGGAAGCUGAGACAGGAGGAUCUCUUGAGUCCAGUAGUUUGAGGCUGCAGUGAGCCGUGAUCACACCACUGCACACCAGCCUGGGCAACAGAGCAAGACACUGUCCACCCACCAAAAAAAUGAACAAACGAAACUCUGUAAAUCUGUUUUUCUCAUCAAUAAAACAGAUAAUACUUCUCACAUUGAUAGGAUUAAAUCA